rnacentral:rRNA from 1 species
AUUGAACGCUGGCGGCAGGCCUAACCCAUGCAAGUCGAACGAGUGGCGGACGGGUGAGUAAUGUCUGGGAAACUGCCUGCUGGAGGGGGAUAACUACUGGAAACGGUAGCUAAUACCGCAUACCAUCAGAUGUGCCCAGAUGGGAUUGGCUGUUGGGAGGGGUAACGGCUCACCAGGGCGCCGAUCCCUAGCUGGUCUGAGAGGAUGACCAGCCACACUGGAACGGAGACACGGUCCAGACUCCUACGGGAGGCAUCAGUGGGGAAUAUUGCACAAUGGGCGCAAGCCUGAUGCAGCCAUGCCGCGUGUAUGAAGAAGGCCUUCGGGUUGUAAAGUACUUUCAGCGUGGAGGCGUUACCCGCAGAAGAAGCACCGGCUAACUCCGUGCCAGCAGCCGCGAUAAUAC